CUCAAUCUUCCUCCUUUUGGGCUUGGACUUAAUCAUGAAAUAUGUGUAGCACUUUGCCCAUUCUUCUCCAUAAUUCUUGGACUCGUUCUUGAGCUCUUCUUCCAUCAUAAGCAUCUUCUUGAUUUCAUUAAAGCCCGUCAAUCUUAAUGCAAGUGGACCAGCCUGGAUGCUAUCAUUCCCCUCUUCUUGAAAACAAUUCGUCCUCGAAUUUGAAUCUCGCAUAAUCAAGACGACAUACAAUAGUAAACAACAUCCAUUACUUGAAAACAACAAUGGUAGGAACAAAACAAGAUAGUGACCAUGUGUCCACUUAACCCAAUUAAAAUCACCUUUAUAAAGCAUGUGGACAUCGUCAUACCAAUAGCAAAUUCUCUUAUUUGUAUGAGCACAAUAAAAUUCAUAUAUGAAUAACAUCAAAAAUGAUAUGUGCUUCUCCAAUUUAACUCUAUCAAUAAAUUACUCUAAUGGGCUUGCCAAAGACGACAUAACAUCUACAGAAUAUGCAUCAAAUUGAACACUUUUAUGAUAUAGCCAAGCAUCCUUAAUUACACUUCUCAGAUAUUUUCCCACGUACCUAUUCACAUCAAUGUAAGAAUUAAGAGUGUAAUUCACCUUAAAAAAAUCUUAGGUGUUCUAGCAAUCCUAAGAAUGUGAAUAAACCAAUCAUACAUACCGUAUUUGGUCUUAUAUGGCAAAAUAACAACACCUCGUUCCUUUUGCAUGAGCGUUAGAUUCGCAACUGUAUUUUUGAUCUUUUUAUCACGAGUCUUAUCUUGGAAAGAUCCAAAACAAUUCUCAUUACCUUUAUACUUCUCAUCAACAUGUACUUGCGCAAUGGGAUAUUUAGUUUGGACCACCUUAGGAAUAAGUUUAUUCAAUGAUGAUUUUUUAAUGCAAAUAUUCUCAUGAGUAUCUGCAAGAGAAUCAAAGCAACUAAAAGAAGAAGUAGAAAGGUUAGAGCUAGAAUAAGAAAUAACCUCACUCAAACUCCCUUGGUUCUCUUUCUCUCUACCUCAUUAUUAUCCCUCUCUUUAUUACUCUCAUGAUCAUCUCUCCUUUCUUUUUUCUUGACCUCACUUGACAUCCCGUUCUCUUCACACAACACAACCUUUCUUCUUUCCUCUCUUGAAAUAUCAACAUGCUCCUCCUUACUCCUAUCAUUCUUUUCUCUAUCAAAAUUUUUCAUUGUUUCUUUCACACGUUUCUGAUCUUCAUAAACUUGGGAUGGAGUUAAUGGUACAAGUUUAUAUUUUCUUUCGUUUAGCUUAAGAGAAACUCUUUUCCUCCCCCUAUCAUAAAUUGCAUUCUUAUCAAACUGUUAGGAACGCCCAAGCUUGAUAUGACAAUCUUGCAUUGGAAUUACAUCACAAAGAACAUUAUCAGAGUACCUUCCAAUGGAGAAAGAAAUCAUGCAUUGCUUAGUCACCUUAAGUUCACCAAAAUCAUUGUGUUUGAUGCAUGUAAGUUUCAACUUCUCCACCAAGUAUGAACUUAUCACAUUAGCAUCACUUUCAAAAUCAAUAAUCAUAGAGCAAAUAUUAUCUUUUAUCCCACACCUUGGGUGCCCUCUAAUGCAUUGAGUCGAGCAGAAAUCUUUCUAAGUGCCUCGGCUAUGUCGUUGUUUUGAGUCCCAGCAUCAGUAUCUUUUUGAGACAUCUCCAAAAGUUAAAAAAAAACAAAAACUCUCAAUUUGACCAUUUUUUUAUCUCACCCCUCUUGCCUUUUCCCACUCAAAUUACAACCUUUGGCUGAUUCUUUUAGGAUUUAUAUAUUAACCCUACUAGUAACAAUCCCUUUAGAAGUAAGAUGUAGAGAGAAAAAGAAAUUAUCAACUCCCAAACGAAUUGGGUUUGGUGAGACGAGAAAAAAGAUCAAUUUUAAAAAAAAAAUCUCAAUUUCCCCACUUCUUGAUUUUCCUUCUUGAUGUUGGAAAACAAGAAACACAACAAAUUUGAAAUUUCUUGAUUUGCAAGCAACCUUUUUUUUUUCUUUUUAAUCUAUUAAAAGGGGGGAAAAAGUAAAGAUUUUUUUUUUGCUACGAAACUCCCAAGAAUUAUCAAGAACAGAACCUUGAUAGAACCUGCUCUGAUACCACUUGAUAAGAAUCGAGUUACAUUAAUAAACAAGAAAAUAAUGCGGAAGCGAAAAUACUAUGAUUAAAGACAAGAAAUUAAAGAUAGAUGAAAUUUGAGAAUAAAUCCCCAAUUUCGAGAUGAAGUGCUAACCCUAAUUGCUCUUAGUAUUCAAAAUUAGUGGAUUAAGACUAAUUAUAAUACCAAUAGAGUCAAUUCAAGAACUUCGAUCAAAAGGUGAUCUAGACCCCUACUUUGAAGAAAUUAAAGACAACAAUUAGUAUAAGAUUAAUCACCUUCUUUAAUUAACUUUAAUAGAAACUAAAGAUAUUAAAUUAAGAAUUAAUCUUACCUCCUAAAGAAUCGUUCUUAUAGGGUUACAAGAUAAAUCUCAAGUAGCCACACACAAAGGUAUAAAUAAAAGAAACUUUCAAUUAAUAAUAAUAUUGUCUCCUUGAAAAUAACAAAAUUCAUCCCUACAUAUAGGGAAAAAAAACAUAUCCUAAAUAGCAUGGGAUUGAAAUCUACAUUUAUCAAAUCUAAUUAGGACUAGGAAAAAGCUAUCCCAAAUAGCAUGAGAUUAGGAUCUACUAUUAUGGAAAUAAUAAAUAAAAACCUACUAGGACUAAGAAAGCAUGUAAAAAUAAUACAAAAAAUUCUCUCCUAAGAAAAUAAGGAAAAGUUUUCAAAUUUACUCACAACCCAUAUGGGCUCAAUCUUCCUCCUUUUGGGCUUGGACUUAAUCAUGAAAUAUGUGUAGCACUUUGUCCAUUCUUCUCCAUAAUUCUUGGACUCGUUCUUGGGCUCUUCUUCCAUCAUAAGCAUUUCUUGAUUUCAUUAAAGUCCAUCAAUCUUAAUGCAAGUAUGCAAGUGGACCAGUCUGGAUGCUAUCGCAAAAGCAAUCUUAGUUUAACCAAAUAACUCCAGCAAAAGUAAAGGGAGAUAAGUAUGGUGCAAAACUCUAAUAUUUUAAACCAAGAAUAAAAAAAUCUUUAUAACUUCUAGUUCAUCC
rnacentral:lncRNA from 1 species